rnacentral:rRNA from 1 species
UACAGAGGUCUCAAGCGUUGUUCGGAAUCACUGGGCGUAAAGGGUGCGUAGGUGGCGUGGUAAGUCAGAUGUGAAAGCCCCGGGCUCAACCUGGGAAUGGCGAUGGAUACUGGCUCGCUAGAGUGCGGUAGAGGAGAGUGGAAUUCCCGGUGUAGCAGUGAAAUGCGUAGAGAUCGGGAGGAACAUCAAUUGCGAAGGCGGCUCUCUGGACCAGCACUGACACUGAGGCACGAAAGCGUGGGGAGCAAACAGG